UACGAAGGGCGCAAGCGUUAUCCGGAAUUAUUGGGCGUAAAGAGCUCGUAGGCGGUUUGUCGCGUCUGCUGUGAAAACGCGAGGCUCAACCUCGCGCCUGCAGUGGGUACGGGCAGACUAGAGUGCGGUAGGGGAGAUUGGAAUUCCUGGUGUAGCGGUGGAAUGCGCAGAUAUCAGGAGGAACACCGAUGGCGAAGGCAGAUCUCUGGGCCGUAACUGACGCUGAGGAGCGAAAGCGUGGGGAGCGAACAGG
rnacentral:rRNA from 1 species